rnacentral:lncRNA from 1 species
GAGCAGCUUUCACUCCUGUGCUGUCUCCACUGUCUGCUGUGAAGGGAGCACUCACCAGUGCCUUUUCCUCAGGGAAUACUAAUGGUGUCUGUAUCCUCCAGCUGUCCUCUCCAAUCACCUCUGGGAGCUUCAGAGCUUUGAGAGAUACUCUCUUCUGUUGUGUUGAAAUUGUCUGAUGCUGUUCUAGAACUACUCAGACACACAGACACAGAGAGAGAGGGAGAGAGGGAGACAGUCAAUACCUGUAAUGCUUUGUUUCCUUAGGAAUCCCAGGCUUAACAACAAUCACCUCACCAUUGUCCCAGAUGUAACAUGCAGUUGUGGUUUUCAUGGUGCAGCAGAAAUGUGGGGACACAGCUGUGGCCCAGAUCAGUUAAUGCAAUUAAAAAUCUCAAGGCUGGAGCAGAACCCAAGAAAUCUGAUGGAGCUGCAAAAGCUGGGCCCAAGCAGUGAGCACCAGCCAGGGGAUGGAACCUGGAUCAGUUUGCCAGUGGAAGAGCUUCCAUCCAUCUUCCAUCUUUUUGGGACAGCAGCAUGGCUUUAGUGCUGUGGUAGGUCUCUCAUGCUGUUUUGGGAAGCAAGGGCUGUGCUGCUGCCAUUCUGCAACUCAGAAAACAGGGAAAGCAAGGACAUGUCACAGGGAGGAUCCUGAUUCUCAUGGCAGUGGGGAAAGUCAGUGAGUGGGUGGAUGACCCCCUGCUGAGAUUCAAAUCCCACUUGAGUAGAGAUACCCAUGCAGAUACAUGACAGUGAUUUUUAAAGGGGUUUGGAUGACCAGUACAUUUUUAUGAUGCGUUUUGAGUGUUGGUUUCCUCUUUUCUAGAAUAGGCCCUGUACAGCCAGUUUAAGCUAAGCCUCUGCUGCUUGUCCUGACUGCAUGUCUGGAACAGGUCAAUCCAGGGUCUGGGUGAGCUUUGCUUUCUUCAAGAACCAGACAGAAUUCAAAGUGAAUAGCUUGGCACAGGCACCUCAUUUUCAGGUGAGCAAGGUCUGGCUG